rnacentral:piRNA from 1 species
UGGGAUUCUAAGCAGGAGCCACUAUGAC